rnacentral:rRNA from 1 species
AUACGGAGGGUGCAAGCGUUAAUCGGAAUUACUGGGCGUAUAGCGCGCGUAGGCGGCUAUAUAAGUCGGAUGUGAAAGCCCUGGGCUCAACCUGGGAACUGCAUUCGAUACUGUAUAGCUAGAGUUUGGUAGAGGGAAGUGGAAUUCCACAUGUAGCGGUGAAAUGCGUAGAUAUGUGGAGGAACACCAGUGGCGAAGGCGACUUCCUGGACCAGAACUGACGCUGAGGUGCGAAAGCGUGGGUAGCAAACAGGAUUAGAAACCCUAGUAGUCC